rnacentral:sRNA from 1 species
AUCAAUAAGCGGAGGAAAAGAAACCAACAGGGAUUGCCCUAGUAACGGCGAGUGAAGCGGCAUCAGCUCAAAUUUGAAAUCUGGCUCUUUCAGGGUCCGAGUUGUAAUUUGCAGAGGGCGCUUUGGCGUUGGCAGCGGUCCAAGUUCCUUGGAACAGGACGUCACAGAGGGUGAGAAUCCCGUACGUGGUCGCUGGCCUUCGCCGUGUAAAGCCCCUUCGACGAGUCGAGUUGUUUGGGAAUGCAGCUCUAAAUGGGAGGUAAAUUUCUUCUAAAGCUAAAUACUGGCCAGAGACCGAUAGCGCACAAGUAGAGUGAUCGAAAGAUGAAAAGCACUUUGGAAAGAGAGUCAAAUAGCACGUGAAAUUGUUGAAAGGGAAGCGCUUGCAGCCAGACUUGCCUGUAGUUGCUCAUCCGGGCUUUUGCCCGGUGCACUCUUCUGCGGGCAGGCCAGCAUCAGUCUGGGCGGUUGGAUAAAGGUCUCUGUCAUGUACCUCCUCUCGGGGAGGCCUUAUAGGGGAGGCGUAAUGCAACCAGCCUGGACUGAGGUCCGCGCAUCUGCUAGGAUGCUGGCGUAAUGGCUGUAAGCGGCCCGUCUUGAAACACGGACCAAGGAGUCUAACAUCUAUGCGAGUGUUUGGGUGUCAAGCCCGAGCGCGUAAUGAAAGUGAACGGAGGUGGGAUCCCUUUAGGGUGCACCAUCGACCGAUCCUGAUGUCUUCGGAUGGAUUUGAGUAAGAGCAUGGCUGUUGGGACCCGAAAGAUGGUGAACUAUGCUUGAAUAGGGUGAAGCCAGAGGAAACUCUGGUGGAGGCUCGCAGCGGUUCUGACGUGCAAAUCGAUCGUCAAAUUUGGGCAUAGGGGCGAAAGACUAAUCGAACUAUCUAGUA